AACAAAGAAGUAAUAAUUUACAUUUAGUUUCGACCUAAGAUUAAAGAACUUGCAGUUCUUCAUGUUU
rnacentral:tRNA from 1 species